GUUAGAGCAUUUUUUUAACGCAAGAAAAUAGUCUAAAUCAUUCAUCCAUGGAUUAAUUCUUGGAGUAGCUAGUUUUUACACAAAGUUUGAAAUAUCUCCAUCUCAGUGCAACCAGGAUUGUUUGCUUUUAAAAUGCUAAAUGCAUUGUUAUCCUUGAUGGAAGAUUGUGGUCAUUUAAAUGGUAUGCGCUCCACAGCUGUUGCAUUGCUGUUAUGGUGAUAUCUUAAAGAAUUGCUUCGUCUGAUUUGGAGAAGAUUGUGGACAAGCUAGGUCAACAGAAUCUCAAUGAGAUAUCCAUUCUAUCAAAUUCGAGUAUCAGGUACAUACAUGAACACAACAAGAUCUCCUGACAAUUGGGCAGCCAGUUAUAGAUGUUAUACUCUUGACACCUCGUAAUGUUGGUAUAAGGGUACGUGGCUUUGCCAUUUUCUUGUUACGCUGACAGUUAUAUAUCGUCUUAGCAGUUGUUUUUGUGGUGCAGAUGCCCAUUGGGAAGACUUCAGUUCUGCCAAACAGGCAACACAAAUAUUUCUUCCUGCAAAGGUGUCUCGCUUUAAUUAUGAAAGAGGCUACACGCGAAACAUUUUGUAGCACUUGUCUAUUAAGAAAGGGCUAAUGUUUCUCAAAUCAAUUAUAGUAUCCAUUUUUUCUUCAGAAAAGAAAGAAAGAACGUUCAGGGUGGGCUUCCAGACAAUCCUCCACAUUUAUACCACUGUAAAGAUUGUUUG
rnacentral:lncRNA from 1 species